UUUGCUGAUUGGCUUGUUAUUUAUUUUUGUUUUCAUUAUUUGUUUUAUUGAAAUAUCAUUUUGGUUGUUGUAUUUUUGUGAUUUGAUUUUUUUUACGAUAGUUUAUUUGUACCGUGAGGGGUUGAUUAAAUUUAAUGUUUUUUGGAAAGCUGAUUUUGUUUUUCGUACCUUGUGUAUCAGGGUUCAUUGAAUUUUAUUAUUUAUUUUUAUUUCCCGAUUUUAAAGGAGUUAAUGGUUUAUGUUAGUUGCUGUUUCAUUAGUAUUAAUAAUAUAUUGUUGGUAGUGAAAUGUUAUUCGUCUUUAGUGGUUUCUGGUUUUUCAAGAAAUGAAUUCAAUUCAUACAUCUUAUUUAAUUUCUGUUUUGGUUAUUAUUAAUUUUUAUUAGAUGUUAAUAUUGAGGGGGAUUAGCUCUUUUUUUUAUGUUUAUAAUUUUUGUUGUUAUUUAUUUUUGUGGAUUUUAUAUUGAUUUUCGAUUUGAUUAUGUUAAAAUUUUAUUUGUUCUUUUGUUUAUUUUUUUAUAUUUAAUUUAUUUAUUGAAAUGUUUUCUUUAUCUUUUUUUGUAUAUUAAUUAUUGUGUAAUUAGUAAAUCUUGCUUUUUACGUGGUUUCGUUAUUUGGAUGGUAAUCUUUUUUUAGGAAUUCGGCAAAUUAUCAUUUCCGCCUGUUUAACAAAAACAUCUUUUCUUGUUAGUUUUUGAAGUAUGGCCUGCCCACUGACUUAUUUGUUGAAGGGCCGCGGUAUUUUGACCGUGCAAAGGUAGCAUAAUCAUUAGUUCUUUAAUUGUGAUCUGGUAUGAAUGGCUUGACGAGACGUGAGCUGUCUUGAAGAUGUUGAUUUAUUGAAUUUGGGGUUUGAGUUAAAAUUCUUAGAUGUUUUUAUGGGACGAGAAGACCCUAUAGAGUUUUACAUUGAGUUUUAUGUUGUUUUUGUUUGUUUGCUAUUUCAUUAUGACUUAUUGUUUUGUUGGGGUGAUGGGAGGAAUAAGUAUAACUCCUCUUUGUUUUUUUAUACUUAUUUGUAUUUGUAUUGAUCCAUUUAUUUUGAUUAUAAGAUUAAAUUACCUUAGGGAUAACAGCGUUAUCUUCCUUGAGAGUUCUUAUUGGCGGGAAGGUUUGCGACCUCGAUGUUGGAUUAAGGUGAAUUUUCGGUGCAGGAGCUGGAAAUGAUUAGGUCUGUUCGACCUUUAAAAUCUUACAUGAUCUGAGUUCAGACCGGCGUGAGCCAGGUUGGUUUCUAUCUAUAAUUUUUAUUUAUAUCUUAGUACGAGAGGACCGGGUAUUUGGAAUAAUUUUUUAAUUAUGAUUUUUAUUAAUAUGUUU
rnacentral:rRNA from 1 species